CGGCAACAAAGGCGGGCGGCGGCUGUGAGUGAGGGGCCGGCGGCAAGAGCACUCAGUUAAAAGGGACAUGGGAGCAUGAAGAAUUGCAUGGAGACCACAGAUGUGCUGCUUGUGGUGGCAUCUCCUACAGCUCUUACCUGGCAAUCUGCUGCUGGCUGGAAGGGAUUGACAGGAACCUCUGUGGACAGCAAAGGAACCUGGAGAUGAAGGUAUUUCUUGAACUCUUCAGUACAUCACAGAAGUGUUGUAUUUGGGGAUAUCCUGCUUAAGCCCACGGAGGAAAAUCUGCCAAAAAUGACUUGAGUUGGAGAGCUGCUGCUUUAUCCACAGGGCCAGCUUCCAGUGUCCCACCUGGAUGCACCGUGCACUAUGGUUCACAUCAAUGUGUUGAAAAAGUUCAUGUGUGUUCUUGUGGUGAUACUGAUAGCACUGACAGUUUGCCUCUGGAGAGAAACAAGAAGAAGCUACUAUGAUCCUUUGAAGACCAGCAGUGAUGAUUUUCAGGGGCACAGGAGUUUGGAGAAAUGGAACCUGGUUAAAUCACAAGGCCUUUUCCAUGAAGCAGCUGGUGAACUGGGGCAGGUAUCCAAAAUGUGGCUUGGUACCCAAAACAAAGUGAAAGGCAGCACCUCUGAAGCAGCUGAAAAGUCCAAGAAAGCAGCCUUUGGGAAGGUAUGGGAUAAGGACAGCUCAUCCAGAAAUCUCAUACCCAGGCUGCAGAAGGUCAGGAAAAACUACCUGGCCAUGAACAAGUACAACGUGAGCUACAAUGGAAAGAGGAACGCUAAGCUCAGCCCAGAGAAGCUGCUCUGCCAGCUGCGGGACAGGGUCAAUGUGACCAUGAUACAGAAGUCAGAUGGUCCUUUUGGUACCUCUGAAUGGCAGCAAUACCUGCCAGGGAAAAGCCUCAGUGAAACAGUGGGACACUUGGGUCGCUGUGCUGUCGUGUCCUCAGCAGGGUCUCUGAAAUCAUCUCGCUUGGGACAAGAGAUAGACAGCCACGACGCCGUCUUGCGGUUCAAUGGGGCUCCUGUCAGGGGCUUCCAAGAUGAUGUGGGGCAAAAGACAACAAUUCGUCUUGUGAAUUCCCAGCUUGUAACUGUUGAAGAGCAGCAGUUCCUGAGGGAACCACUAUAUAACACUGGAAUCUUAAUUGUCUGGGAUCCAGCACCAUAUCAUGCAGAAAUUCAUGAGUGGUACAGAAAACCAGAUUACAACUUUUUUGAAAGCUAUAAGGCAUAUCGUAGAGUGCAUCCAGAGCAGCCCUUCUAUAUCCUGAAUCCCAAAAUGCAGUGGCAGCUCUGGGAUAUUCUGCAGGAGAAUUCCCUGGAGCAUAUUCAGCCUAAUCCACCAUCAUCAGGAAUGCUUGGCAUCGUGCUCAUGAUGACGCUGUGUGACCAAGUGGACGUGUACGAAUUUCUCCCUUCCAAGCGGCAGACGGACAUUUGCCACUAUUACCAGAAGUUCCACGACCAUGCCUGCACCAUGGGAGCUUACCACCCCCUCCUGUUUGAGAAGAACUUGGUGAAGCACAUGAACCAGGGCACAGAUGAGGACAUCUACACUCACGGCAAAGUCACCCUGCCUGGCUUCCAAAAAGUGCAUUGCUAGAUUGGUUUUACUGUGUUCAGUUUUCCUCGACUUUCAAAGCACUUUUUUAAUCAGGGUUGUCAGAUUUGUUAGGUCUAAGCACUGGUGUGUUUUGACAGCUCUUCCGUGAGCAAGGCUUGCUCUUAGGACUUUGUUGACCAGCUCUGAGCUGUAAGGCUCACUGUGGUACAGCCACCUGGCUGCAAUAAAUGGACUCCAGUGGAGCCAGGCUCUCGCAGCACGUGGAUACCUCUGGCUUCAUCUCAGCCAGUGAUGGUGUAGGGGAGGCACAGGAGAGGCUUUCUAAGCAGAGAUUGCACAAGUCAGGAUCAUACAAUGAACACAGUUUGGUUUGCUUCAAAGGCAUUGUGACAGCCAAAAACCUGGGCCACUGGGAAACAUGAAAAACAUUUAGAAUUUGUUCCCAUAGUCAGGAGCUCUUCAGAGUAGGGCUAAUUUAUGGAAAUGCUGUCAAGCUGUGUAAUAAUAAGCUAAACUUCUAGUCCAAAAUAUUUGAUUUUAUAAACAGUCUGUGAACUUCCUUCCAAAUUGUAAGACUUCUGAAACCACUCAGGUGACAUUUUUGGCAAAGGAAGAGGAAAGGAAUUCAUAAUUCGGUGAAUCUUGCAAGACUUUCUAAUAUUUUUACUUUUUUUUUAUAAUUUAAAAAUUUUAGUAAUAAUUUCCUUUUCCAGUGCAGAAGAAUCCUUAUCAGGAAGGUUUUGGGAAGGUGCUCCAAGGCACAAACGGGAGAACUCACUGGAAGUUGGUGCCUUUUUCCAGCUCUCUGCUGCUCUACCUUUGCAAUUGUUGAUGAAUUAUUUGCUAUACCCAUUAACACAAACAUCACAGAGUUGCUGCUAGAUGAGUUCCAGCCCUCUGCAGGUCAACAGAGGGGAUCUCUCAACUGCUGUGUGCUUUUCUGCAUAGGUGGGGCGAGCAGGUUUGCCAAUUCCAUGCUUCGCGAGUGGUGGGGAGGGAGAGCAUGCUCUGCUUCUCGGGCUGAAGCACAGGCAGAGCUGGGAAGGGCAGCAUCUUCCUGCUCCAGGGGCUCCUGUGGCAGCAUGCUGGGAGGGGUAGCUCUGCAAUCUCAGUGUGUUGGUGAGAACACCUUUCCUGUCUUCUGUACUCGUGUGUUCCAUGAGGUCUGGGAAGAAAUCUUUCUCCUGUUUUGAAUAAAUCCUGUGGAGUCACCGGCCUGGCUUUGGUGAAUGGUAAAUGUCUUGUCCCCAUGGCCCUGGGGCUUUGUAGCAGCCUUGCACCACUGCUGGCACAGCUGGUCCCUGCUUGUUCCAGGGAGCCCUCAGCUCCUGCCCUGCUGCUCCUCCAGCACAGGGGCUGCCUUUCAGCACAUCCAUCUCUUGGGAUGGAUUGGAUCUGUCAGUGUUUACUAGUUACAUACAGGUAAAAAGGUCCAGGUCCUUGCACCACUGCUCAUUCCACUAGGCCAGGAAUGCAGCUUGGAAAGCAUUCCUUUUCGGGAAUUCCUGCCGGGGAGGAGGGAGCUUACAGGGGAAACGCCAUGAGGGGUUGCUUGGGAGACAGCCACAAUAAUCCUCUCCCCAUCUCUACCCUUGGGUUCUGACAGCCUUACCUCUGUUCCUUGGAUCAGGAGGAGGAGGAGGUAUCUGCCACAGCAAAUUGUCUUCUUUUACUGUGUAUUUAGUUGAGAUUCAAAUAGCUUCUGACUUUUUUCCUAGACUGUUUCAUGUGUUAAUUCUCAGAACAUUAUUUCCCACCAACUCCCCCACUGUGGAGACGCUGCCACCCUCCCUGGCUUGGGCUGUGUUAUGGGUGGAUGGGAUGUGGCUUCUGGGGAGCC